CGGACGGGUGAGUAACACGUAUCCAACCUGCCGUCUACUCUUGGACAGCCUUCUGAAAGGAAGAUUAAUACAAGAUGGCAUCAUGAGUCCACAUGUUCACAUGAUUAAAGGUAUUCCGGUAGACGAUGGGGAUGCGUUCCAUUAGAUAGUAGGCGGGGUAACGGCCCACCUAGUCUUCGAUGGAUAGGGGUUCUGAGAGGAAGGUCCCCCACAUUGGAACUGAGACACGGUCCAA
rnacentral:rRNA from 1 species